UUUGGCCAACAGAAUACACUGAAGCCCAGAGCCCAGGCUGGGAGAGGCCGUGUGACCUCCAAUCUUUCAGGCCCCUGCUGUCUUGGAGGACAAGACCACGUGCAUCAUGUGGAGCCUAAAAGGGCUGGGCCAGCAGCUGGGGCCUCCCUGGAGCAUCCUGCCCCAGCAGAGCCUGCCAGGAAGUCUUCCUGGAUUCCCUCCCAGCUCAGACAGGAAGAGCCUCUCCCACGUCCACUCUCUCUUCCUCAUCUGGUCUCCAUAACUGCCGGUAAAAACUAUGGCUCUCCUCUCUGUCCUACUUCAAGAUGGGGCAACCGAAUGCAGAGACAUCUGUGAGCUGCCCAAGGCCACACCUUCAGAAAUGCCAUCUGGAAUCCCAGAGACUUGGGAGGCUGAGGCAGGAGGAUCACGGGCUACAGGCCAGCCUCAGCAACGUAGCUAGACCCAUCUCAAAACAAACACACAAAAGCCCCAAACCAAACCAAUUAGUGCCUCCAGAGUUUGAAUCCAGGCCAAAGUUGGUCUUAAGUACCCUUACAAUAUUGCUGUCCCCGGUGACGGGCAUUACACAGUGAACAACUGCUUUCUUCGGAUGAAAUAAGGGAUCUUCCUGAGCCUCAGUUUCCCCAUGUGGUGGACGAGGUCUGGAGUUCCCGGGUCUCUCUGGUCUAUGCAAUCUAUCCCUGUGCGCCUGGCAACUGUAGGUGCUCAAUAAAUGCCCAUAGAACAA